rnacentral:rRNA from 1 species
ACCCGCACAAGCGGUGGAUGAUGUGGUUUAAUUCGAUGCAACGCGAAAACCUUACCCACCUUUGGCAUGUACGGAAGCCUUUAGAGAUAGAGGCGUGCUCGAAAGAGAGCCGUAACACAGGUGCUGCAUGGCUGUCGUCAGCUCGUGUCGUGAGAUGUUGGGUUAAGUCCCGCAACGAGCGCAACCCUUGUCAUUAGUUGCUACAUUCAGUUGGGCACUCUAAUGAGACUGCCGGUGACAAGCCAGAGGAAGGUGGGGAUGACGUCAAGUCCUCAUGGCCCUUAUGGGUAGGGCUUCACACGUCAUACAAUGGUCGGGACAGAGGGUCGCCAACCCGCGAGGGGGAGCCAAUCCCAGAAACCCGAUCGUAGUCCGGAUUGUAGUCUGCAACUCGACUACAUGAAGUCGGAAUCGCUAGUAAUCGCGGAUCAGCAUGUCGCGGUGAAUACGUUCCCGGGUCUU